rnacentral:rRNA from 1 species
ACCCAUGUCCAGGAUGAAGGUAAGGUAAUACUUACUGGAGGUCCGAACCCACGCACGUUGAAAAGUGCGGGGAUGAGGUGUGGGUAGCGGAGAAAUUCCAAUCGAACUUGGAGAUAGCUGGUUCUCUCCGAAAUAGCUUUAGGGCUAGCCUCGAGGUAAAGAGUCAUGGAGGUAGAGCACUGUUUGGACUAGGGGCCCUUCUCGGGUUACCGAAUUCAGAUAAACUCCGAAUGCCAUGUACUUAUACUCGGGAGUCAGACUGCGAGUGAUAAGAUCCGUAGUCGAAAGGGAAACAGCCCAGACCACCAGUUAAGGUCCCCAAAUAUAUGUUAAGUGGAAAAGGAUGUGGGGUUGCUUAGACAACCAGGAUGUUGGCUUAGAAGCAGCCACCAUUGAAAGAGUGCGUAAUAGCUCACUGGUCGAGUGACCCCGCGCCGAAAAUGUACCGGGGCUAAACAUAUUACCGAAACUGUGGAUGAACCUCUUUAGAGGUUCGUGGUAGGAGAGCGUUCUAAGGGCGGUGAAGUCAGACCGGAAGGACUGGUGGAGCGCUUAGAAGUGAGAAUGCCGGUAUGAGUAGCGAAAGAAGGGUGAGAAUCCCUUCCACCGAAUAUCUAAGGUUUCCUGAGGAAGGCUCGUCCGCUCAGGGUUAGUCGGGACCUAAGCCGAGGCCGAUAGGCGUAGGCGAUGGACAACAGGUAGAGAUUCCUGUACCAGUGCUAAUUGUUUAACCGAUGGGGUGACACAGAAGGAUAGGGAAUCGCACGAAUGGAAAUGUGCGUCCAAGCAGUGAGUGUGAGAAGUAGGCAAAUCCGCUUCUCGCGAAGCAUGAGCUGUGAUGGGGAAGGAAAUUAAGUACGGAAGUUCCUGAUUUCACGCUGUCAAGAAAAGCCUCUAGGAAGAGUAGUACUGCCCGUACCGCAAACCGACACAGGUAGAUGAGGAGAGAAUCCUAAGGUGAGCGAGAGAACUCUCGUUAAGGAACUCGGCAAAAUGACCCCGUAACUUCGGGAGAAGGGGUGCUCUAUUAGGGUGCAAGCCCGAGAGAGCCGCAGUGAAUAGGCCCAGGCGACUGUUUAGCAAAAACACAGGUCUCUGCAAAACCGUAAGGUGACGUAUAGGGGCUGACGCCUGCCCGGUGCUGGAAGGUUAAGAGGAGUGCUUAGCUUCGGCGAAGGUACGAAUUGAAGCCCCAGUAAACGGCGGCCGUAACUAUAACGGUCCUAAGGUAGCGAAAUUCCUUGUCGGGUAAGUUCCGACCCGCACGAAAGGCGCAACGAUCUGGGCACUGUCUCAACGAGAGACUCGGUGAAAUUAUAGUACCUGUGAAGAUGCAGGUUACCCGCGACAGGACGGAAAGACCCCGUGGAGCUUUACUGCAACCUGAUAUGGAAUGUUUGUACCGCUUGUACAGGAUAGGUAGGAGCCGAAGAGACGUGUGCGCUAGCAUACGAGGAGGCAAUGGUGGGAUACUACCCUGGCUGUAUGACCAUUCUAACCCGCCACGCUUAGCGCGUGGGGAGACAGUGUCAGGUGGGCAGUUUGACUGGGGCGGUCGCCUCCUAAAGAGUAACGGAGGCGCCCAAAGGUUCCCUCAGAAUGGAUGGAAAUCAUUCGCAGAGUGUAAAGGCACAAGGGAGCUUGACUGCGAGACUGACAAGUCGAGCAGGGACGAAAGUCGGGCUUAGUGAUCCGGUGGUUCCGCAUGGAAGGGCCAUCGCUCAACGGAUAAAAGCUACCCCGGGGAUAACAGGCUUAUCUCCCCCAAGAGUCCACAUCGACGGGGAGGUUUGGCACCUCGAUGUCGGCUCGUCGCAUCCUGGGGCUGUAGUCGGUCCCAAGGGUUGGGCUGUUCGCCCAUUAAAGCGGCACGCGAGCUGGGUUCAGAACGUCGUGAGACAGUUCGGUCCCUAUCCGUCGCGGGCGCAGGAAAUUUGAGAGGAGCUGUCCUUAGUACGAGAGGACCGGGAUGGACACACCGCUGGUGUACCAGUUGUUCCGCCAGGAGCAUCGCUGGGUAGCUAUGUGUGGCAGGGAUAAACGCUGAAAGCAUCUAAGCGUGAAGCCCCCCUCAAGAUGAGAUUUCCCAUUUCUUCGGAAAGUAAGAUCCCUGAAAGAUGAUCAGGUAGAUAGGUUUGGAGUGGAAGUGUAGCGAUACAUGGAGCGGACAAAUACUAAUCGAUCGAGGACUUA